UCCGGGCUAGAAGCGACGCA
rnacentral:sRNA from 1 species